rnacentral:rRNA from 1 species
ACGAGUUUGAUCAGUGGCUACAGGACGAACGCUGGCGGCAUGCUUAACACAUGCAAGUCGAACGGACUGAUUCCUUCGGGAUGAAAGUUAGUGGCGAACGGGUGAGUAAUGUAUGAGCAACCUGCCUCUGUCAACGGGAUACCUACUGGAAACGGUAGUUAAUACGGUAUAUGACCACAGCAUCGCAUGGUGCAGCGGUGAAAGAUUUUAUCGGACAGAGAUGAGCUUGCGUCUGAUUAGGUAGUUGGUGAGGUAACGGCCCACCAAGCCGACGAUCGGUAGCCGGACUGAGAGGGUGAACGGCCACAUUGGGACUGAGAUACGGCCCAGACUCCUACGGGAGGCAGCAGUGGGGAAUAUUGGGCAAUGGGGGAGACCCUGACCCAGCAACGCCGCGUGAAGGAAGAAGGUUUUCGGAUUGUAAACUUCUGUCCUAUGAGACGAAGGAAGUGACGGUAUCAUAGGAGGAAGCCCCGGCUAACUACGUG